CCAGUGUGGCCUGUGUGCCUGCACGCUCAGAGCGGGUAACCAGCGCUGCUGAGGCACYGAACAUGAGGCGUUAGGUUUCUCGCACAACCCUCUAAGCUCAAAGCAGCCUGAACGUG